UCGGGUUGUAAAGCACUUUUGUCCGGAAAGAAAUCCUCUGGGUUAAUACCUCGGGGGGAUGACGGUACCGGAAGAAUAAGCACCGGCUAACUACGUGCCAGCAGCCGCGGUAAUACGUAGGGUGCGAGCGUUAAUCGGAAUUACUGGGCGUAAAGCGUGCGCAGGCGGUUCGCUAAGACCGAUGUGAAAUCCCCGGGCUUAACCUGGAACUGCAUUGGUGACUGGCAGGCUAGAGUAUGGCAGAGGGGGGUAGAAUUCCACGUGUAGCAGUGAAAUGCGUAGAGAUGUGGAGGAAUACCGAUGGCGAAGGCAGCCCCUGGGCCAAUACUGACGCUCAUGCACGAAAGCGUGGGGAGCAAACAGGAUUAGAUACCCUGGUAGUCCACGCCCUAAACGAUGUCAACUAGUUGUUGGGGAUUCAUUUCCUUAGUAACGUAGCUAACGCGUGAAGUUGACCGCCUGGGGAGUACGGUCGCAAGAUUAAAACUCAAAGGAAUUGACGGGGACCCGCACAAGCGGUGGAUGAUGUGGAUUAAUUCGAUGCAACGCGAAAAACCUUACCUACCCUUGACAUGGUCGGAAUCCUGCUG
rnacentral:rRNA from 1 species